CAAAAAGGGCUCCCUUAGAGUACUAAGGAUGUUUUGGGUGCUUAAAACCUUCCCAUUUCAUAACCAACCCCCUUAAUGCACAAAUAUUUUCACAAAUACCAACCUACAAUACACACUUGCAAAAAGGGCUCCCUUAGAGUACUAAGGAUGUUUUGGGUGCUUAAAACCUUCCCAUUUCAUAACCAACCCCCUUACCCAGAUCUUUGACAUUUUU
rnacentral:lncRNA from 1 species